rnacentral:tRNA from 1 species
GCGGAGGUUGCCGAGUGGAAAAGGCGCUAGAUUCAGGGUCUAGUUCCGUAGGGAUCCGUGGGUUCAAAUCCCACCCUCCGCA